AAAAUGAGAGAGGGACGCAUAUAGAGGAACGGCGCAGAAAGACUCCUUUGGAGCUUGAUCUUCUUCCUCAUCAAAACGAAAAACUCAACCGCUUCUUUUGCUUUUCUCUCGAGAACACAAAUCUCUCUUCAUAUUACACUGCAUUUCUCUCAAAAAAUACAGUAAUGAAAAGCUGUUGAGAAUUGAAAGUAGCUUAAAAAUUCAAUUGGAGAUCUGAGCCUUCAAAGAACUUUUUCAUCACUCGAAAAGCUCGAAAUUGGAGUGUUUAGCUGGGUUUUGGGUUUGGAUAUAACUCGAAAAGGGGAGUUGUUUUGUUGUUGUUGCUCCCACGUUGCUAGCUGAGCUCCAAUUUUUUGUUUCAAUCGUUAUUUGGCUUCUUUGUCUUCUAAAUCUCAUCCUUGCGUAAUUAGAUUCCUUAUCUAACUGGGUUUUGCUGUUUGAGCUGUCUUCAUAUUCCGGCCCUUUAAUGUUAAGAUUCUGCUUCAUGUGAAUUGAAAAGUUAAUAGGAAUUUAUAUAUGAAAUUUUCAUUUUUGGCAAAUACGAUUCCGAGCCGAUCUUAAGGAUGAGACAGAGUUCGAUACUUCACAAUUUUUGGAGAAAUGGGAUUUUCAGCAUUGUUAGUUUGCUUUCCUUCAACUGAUUUAUAUAUGUAACCAAAUUGUGAAGAUUUUUCGAUUUUCUUAGAUUGCCAAGUGAAAGACAAAUUAUCCGAAUGUUUAAGGAGUUACAUGCCACUGUCUGUUUCCAUGGUUUCUAA